UAGAGUUUGAUCCUGGCUCAGAACGUACGCUGGCGGCACGCCUAACACAUGCAAGUCGAACGAAGUAGCAAUACUUAGUGGCAGACGGGUGAGUAACAUGUAGGUAUCUACCCUUUGGCCUGGAAUAACACGAGGAAACUUGUGCUAAUACCGGAUAAGUCUUUACAGAGAAAGCUUUAUGCACCAUUGGAUGAGCCUGCACUUGAUUAGUUUGUUGGUGGGGUAAUGGCCUACCAAGACUGUGAUCAAUAGCUGAUUUGAGAGGAUGAUCAGCCACAUUGGGACUGAGACACGGCCCAAACUCCUACGGGAGGCAGCAGUGGGGAAUCUUGCACAAUGGAGGAAACUCUGAUGCAGCGAUGCCGCGUGAGUGAAGAAGGCCCUUGGGUUGUAAAGCUCUUUCGUCGGGGAAGAAAAUGACUGUACCCGAAUAAGAAGGUCCGGCUAACUUCGUGCCAGCAGCCGCGGUAAUACGAAGGGACCUAGCGUAGUUCGGAAUUACUGGGCUUAAAGAGUUCGUAGGUGGUUGAAAAAGUUAGUGGUGAAAUCCCAGAGCUUAACUCUGGAACUGCCAUUAAAACUUUUCAGCUAGAGUAUGAUAGAGGAAAGCAGAAUUUCUAGUGUAGAGGUGAAAUUCGUAGAUAUUAGAAAGAAUACCAAUUGCGAAGGCAGCUUUCUGGAUCAUUACUGACACUGAGGAACGAAAGCAUGGGUAGCGAAGAGGAUUAGAUACCCUCGUAGUCCAUGCCGUAAACGAUGUGUGUUAGACGUUGGAAAUUUAUUUUCAGUGUCGCAGGGAAACCGAUAAACACACCGCCUGGGGAGUACGACCGCAAGGUUAAAACUCAAAUGAAUUGACGGGGACCCGCACAAGUAGUGGAGCAUGUGGUUUAAUUCGAAGAUACGCGCAGAACCUUACCAACACUUGACAUGUUCGUCGCGACUCUAAGAGAUUAGAGUUUUCGGUUCGGCCGGACGAAACACAGGUGCUGCAUGGCUGUCGUCAGCUCGUGUCGUGAGAUGUUGGGUUAAGUCCCGCAACGAGCGCAACCCUCACUUUUAGUUGCCAUCAUUUAGUUGGGCACUCUGAAAGAACUGCCAGUGAUAAGCUGGAGGAAGGUGGGGAUGACGUCAAGUCCUCAUGGCCCUUACGUGUUGGGCUACACACGUGCUACAAUGGUAUCUACAACAGGAAGCAAAACUGCGAAGUUAAGCAAAUCCCUAAAAGAUACCUCAGUUCGGAUUGCACUCUGCAACUCGAGUGCAUGAAGCUGGAAUUACUAGUAAUCGUGGAUCAGCGUGCCACGGUGAAUGCGUUCCCGGGUCUUGUACACACCGCCCGUCACACCAUGGGAGUUGGUUCUACCUUAAGGCAAGGUUUCAAACCCUUGACCACGGUAUAGUCAGCGACUGGGGUGAAGUCGUAACAAGGUAACCA
rnacentral:rRNA from 1 species